UUACAUCGAGAUACAUUUAAUACAUACAUUCAUCACGCCCCCAUCCCCCGUUCCCACCGGCCUCGGCACCACAACUGCCGCUCCCCUCAUCGUCAUCCUCGCUCGCUCUCCUAUUCCCUGAGCCACAUAGGAACUCCUAGGCUCCCAGCCCCAUGGAACCGCGCUCCCCCGUCAACUGGUCCAUCAACUUCGGCAGCCACCACAGAGGCAGAGGCGGCGACCAGCAAGAGUGGCAUGCGCUCCUCAGGCCAGCCUCUUCUCAACCAACCACAGGACAAGCUCAGCUCCUCCAAACUUGGAUGAACAAAAACGUAAUCAGAUUGUUACCGCAGGCCAUACACAAAACGGGGACAGAUAAAAGAAAACCACAUUUGCUUUUGAUUCUGAAUUGGAAGCAUUACACAACUUCGGAGGUAUAUACUUCCCUUUCGAUUCUUUGGGCAGUUCAACCACAUUAGCUACACCAUCCUCAGAUUCUAGAACCGCUCAUCAUUCUCUUCAUCCAGGUCAACACCUUCAUCAUCUCUAAUUGUUUUAUCGUCUUGUUGUCAUUGUACUUGUGGACAUGGGCUAGCUGUCUUUGUGUCAUUGUACUUGUGGAUAGGGUCUAACUCAUGUAAGUUUCAGACUCUCAGGUAUUCUUUAUUGCAACAUUUUCAUAUUAGAGCACAAUAGUUGUUACCUAAUCCAUUGUUUUAUUUUUUACCUUAAAGCUCUGGAAUUUCAUGCUCCUUAAGCAAAAAAGGAAUGCCACUGUAAUUAUGGAAACAUUAGCAUGUAAUCCUAUUUUUAAAGGGAUAUACGGUUCUUCCUAUGCAAUCGUAUCAAUUUUUGCAUGCAAUUGAUCAUUUUUUUCUUAUGCAGUUAUAUCCUCUUUUUCUUAAAAUAGCAUGUACCUUUGCUGCCAACUUAGUCUCUUUGUCUCCAUUGUAGAUCAAGGCCAAGGUAGCCACAUUUGGAUUUGGAGGACCAACUGAGGUACUCCUGGUGGCAACGUACGCCUUCAAGUUGUAUGCUUCUGCUUGCUUGAACAUCAGGCGUAUUGGUCUGGUAAAGAAAGGCGAAAAGUAGAAGUAGCGGGAAGAGAAUUCACAUUGUGUGAAAUCAUGCUGAUGGCUGAGAAGUUGAAGUAAGCCGGGAAGGGUGAGGUAUUGGGAUCCGUAGCAUUUAAACUUCAAUAAGCAACAGUAAAAUGUAGUGGCGUGGGUGUGUAUAUAUGAUGUGCACAUUUUGUACUCGGGCAAUUUUUAUUGAGUGACGCUAGAAUCACAUUGAGCUCCCUCCACUUCCAAUA